UACGAAGGGGGCUAGCGUUGUUCGGAUUUAUUGGGCGUAAAGAGCGUGUAGGCGGCUAGGUAGGUCCGUUGUGAAAACUCGAGGCUCAACCUCGAGCUGUCGAUGGAAACCAUCUAGCUAGAGUCCGGAAGAGGAGAGUGGAAUUCCUGGUGUAGCGGUGAAAUGCGCAGAUAUCAGGAAGAACACCCGUGGCGAAGGCGGGUCUCUGGGCCGAUACUGACGCUGAGGAGCGAAAGCGUGGGGAGCGAACAGG
rnacentral:rRNA from 1 species